rnacentral:rRNA from 1 species
GACGAACGCUGGCGGCGUGCUUAACACAUGCAAGUCGAACGGAAAGGCCCUGCUUUUGUGGGGUGCUCGAGUGGCGAACGGGUGAGUAACACGUGAGUAACCUGCCCUUGACUUUGGGAUAACUUCUGGAAACUGGGGCUAUUACCGGAUAUAAUCUCCUGCUCCAUGUUGGGGGUUGGAAAGUUUCGGCGGUUGGGGAUGGACUCGCGGCUUAUCAGCUUGUUGGUGGGGUAGUGGCUUACCAAGGCUUUGACGGGUAGCCGGCCUGAGAGGGUGAACGGCGACAUGAGGACUGAGAUACGGACCAGACGCCUACGGGAGGCAGCAGUGGGGAAUAUUGCACAAUGGGCGGAAGCCUGAUGCAGCAACGCCGCGUGCGGGAUGACGGGCUUCGGGUUGUAAACCGAUUUCGCCGGUGACGAAGAGUGAGUGACGGUAAUGGGUAAAGAAGCAACGGCUAACUACGUG